CCAAUAAAUUCUAAAAAUGUUACUUUACAUACAAACUAUAUUACAGAUUAUAUACACUAAACUACAAAAAUUACACGAAUGCAUAAUUUACAACGCUAAAUUAAUUAUUAUCGUUAGUGACUACAAAAUAGGUAGGUUUCACAAAGCACUAACGUACAGCAGAUGUUGGUCAACCUGCAGUUAUCAGAGAGAGAAAAUAAUGUUCAUUCUUUUCAUUAUUUGCAGCAGUCUUUAUUUGGCAGUAAACUGAGAGAUGAAAUUCAAUAAGUGUCACUGAAAUUGAUCCCCAUCUGCUGCCCAGUAAUGUUGACUGAAACCAUUCGUCGUUUAUUAGUGAAUCAGGGUGUUAGCCAGAAGAAAAAAGUUUUGUCCGUUAAACGUAAAUUGGGAAAGCUUUUUUUGACCGAUCAAAGUCCUUGUAUAGGAAUAAAUAGUGUUUUUUUCCAACGUGUUUCUCCUCAGAUGCAAAUAACGGUAGCUUGGUUUUGUACAUUUCAUUUCCGGUGAAUGAACACUGAAAAAUGCACCCGAUGGCACUUCGUUUUGUAUAUUUCAUUUCUGGUGAAUGAACACGGAUGCACACCGAUUACACUUUGUUUUAUACAUUUCAUUUCAGUGAAUACACACCCAAUAUGAAUGAAACGCG